GGCGAGCCAGCGGCUCCGGCUCCCGCUCCCGCUCCGCGCAGCACCAGCCCGACUCUCCCCGGCCCCCGCCGCGCCCCCUCGCCGCGACCUCGGCCACCGGCCCGCGCCCCGCGCCCGGGGUCGCCCCGAGCCCGCACCUCUCCCCCGCCGCCCCCGCCCACCCGGCCCUCCGCGGCCGCAGCUCCCCGGCGGAGGCAAGAGGUGGUUGGGGGGGACCAUGGCUGACGUUUUCCCGGGCAACGACUCCACGGCGUCUCAGGACGUGGCCAACCGCUUCGCCCGCAAAGGGGCGCUGAGGCAGAAGAACGUGCACGAGGUGAAGGACCACAAAUUCAUCGCGCGCUUCUUCAAGCAGCCCACCUUCUGCAGCCACUGCACCGACUUCAUCUGGGGGUUUGGGAAACAAGGCUUCCAGUGCCAAGUUUGCUGUUUUGUGGUCCACAAGAGGUGCCAUGAAUUUGUUACUUUUUCUUGUCCGGGUGCGGAUAAGGGACCCGACACUGAUGUAAGUAGUCCUGAAAUCAUGAUUUGAUGUCAAUGUGGAUUUCUGAGCUUUAAUUUUUUUAACGCCUGUGCAACUGUUAGUUUUGGCACUUACUGUUAAUGGGAAGACUCAAUUCUCAUAGAGCGUUGGCUUGUAGUAAUGAGCAGAUUUAUAGCCCAUAUGAGCUCUGGACUACAUCUUAGAGAAUUUCUCAGAGGAGAAUUUCUUGGUAGCAUGUACUGUUCCACUUUGGGCAGCUGCAUUGACUAAAUCCACCAAAUUUAUUGUAAUAGCUUUCACAAACACAAUGCAGUUGUUGACAGAUUUUACAAUGAACAUUUAUCACCCUUCAGUUUAUUUCCGU
rnacentral:lncRNA from 1 species